rnacentral:tRNA from 1 species
GGGUCGUUAGCUCAACUGGCAGAGCAUCUGACUCUUAAUCAGGAGGUUACAGGUUCGAUUCCUGUACGACCCACCA